UGCUAGCCGCCCCGGUAAUACGAAGGUCCCAAGCGUUGUUCGGAAUCACUGGGCGUAAAGCGCACGUAGGCGGAUUAGAAAGUUAGAGGUGAAAUCCCAGGGCUCAACCCUGGAACUGCCUUUAAAACUCCUAGUCUUGAGUUCGAGAGAGAUGAGUGGAAUUCCAAGUGUAGAGGUGAAAUUCGUAGAUAUUUGGAGGAACACCAGUGGCGAAGGCGGCUCACUGGCUCGAUACUGACGCUGAGGUGCGAAAGUGUGGGGAGCAAACAGGAUUAGAUA
rnacentral:rRNA from 1 species